rnacentral:rRNA from 1 species
CCUACGGGAGGCAGCAGUGAGGAAUAUUGCACAAUGGGGGAAACCCUGAUGCAGCAACGCCGCGUGCAGGAAGACGGUUUUCGGGUUUUAAACUUCUGUUCUUAGUGAAGAAUAAUGACGGUAGCUAAGGCUCCCGCCACGGCUCACUACGUCCCAGCAGCCGCGGUAAUCCGUAGGUGGAAAGCGUUGUCCGGCAUUACUGGGUGUAAAGGGAGCGCAGGCGGGAAGCAAAGUCAGCUGUGAAAACUACGGGCUUAACUUGUAGACUGCAGUUGAAACUGGUUUUCUUGAGUGAAGUAGAGGUUGGCGGAAUUCCGAGUGUAGCGGUGAAAUGCGUAGAUAUUCGGAGGAACACCGGUGGCGAAGGCGGCCAACUGGGCUGCAACUGACGCUGAGGCUCGAAAGUGUGGGGAGCAAACAGGAUUAGAUACCCGUGUAGUC